rnacentral:rRNA from 1 species
AAAAACAUGUCUGCAUGAAUUAAAAUAUGAAGUCUAGCCUGCCCACUGAGGUUUGUUCUUAAAGGGCCGCGGUACUUUGACCGUGCGAAGGUAGCAUAAUCAUUAGUCUUUUAAUUGAAGGCUGGAAUGAAUGGUUGGACAAAAAAUAAGCUGUCUCAGUUAUAAUGAUUGAAUUUAACUUUUAAGUGAAAAGGCUUAAAUAAUCUGAGGGGACGAUAAGACCCUAUAAAGCUUUACGAUUUGGUUAUUAAAUUGAAAAUUGUAAGUUUAAAUUUGAUUUAAUAAACAUUUGUUUCGUUGGGGCGACGAGAAUAAAACUAGUAACUGUUCUUUUUUAAUAUUACAAAUAUAAUUGUACGAAAAUUGAUCCCUUACUAAGGAUUAAAAGUUUAAGUUACUUUAGGGAUAACAGCGUAAUCUUUUUUGAGAGUCCUUAUCGACAAAAAGGGUUGCGACCUCGAUGUUGAAUUAAGAGAUCCUUGUAGUGCAGCAGCUAUAAAGGAAGGUCUGUUCUACCUUUAAUUUCUUACAUGAUUUGAGUUCAGACCGGCGUAAGCCAGG